UGGGGAAUUUUGGACAAUGGGCGAAAGCCUGAUCCAGCAAUGCCGCGUGUGUGAAGAAGGCCUUCGGGUUGUAAAGCACUUUUGUCCGGAAAGAAAUCCUUGGCUCUAAUACAGUCGGGGGGUGACGGUACCGGAAGAAUAAGCACCGGCUAACUACGUGCCAGCAGCCGCGGUAAUACGUAGGGUGCAAGCGUUAAUCGGAAUUACUGGGCGUAAAGCGUGCGCAGGCGGUUUGCUAAGACCGAUGUGAAAUCCCCGGGCUCAACCUGGGAACUGCAUUGGUGACUGGCAGGCUAGAGUAUGGCAGAGGGGGGUAGAAUUCCACGUGUAGCAGUGAAAUGCGUAGAGAUGUGGAGGAAUACCGAUGGCGAAGGCAGCCCCCUGGGCCAAUACUGACGCUCAUGCACGAAAGCGUGGGGAGCAAACAGGAUUAGAUACCCUGGUAGUCCACGCCCUAAACGAUGUCAACUAGUUGUUGGGGAUUCAUUUCCUUAGUAACGUAGCUAACACGUGAAGUUGACCGCCUGGGGAGUACGGUCGCAAGAUUAAAACUCAAAUGAAUUGACGGGGUCAUAGCUGUUUCCU
rnacentral:rRNA from 1 species